AGACACAACCCCAGCCUGGGUUCUUUGAGUCUGCUUCCAUUUUCACUUCUUGGCACUGCCUGUUCAACAUGCCCGAGUGCUGUGAACGUUAUGAGAGGGCCUUGUUGGGAACACGUGCUCCUGGGAAUCAGCCCUUCCCUCUGUCCUGUUCCCACUCCUCCCCGACGAUGCUCCUGCUCAGAACCCACUCCUCACCUCAGUGAAGCAACGCAGCGGGCACCCUGUGGACAAAGCUGGAUAUUGGCUCUGAAUAAAAGCGAAUCAUGGGGAAAAUCAGUGUCUCAGUAAAAUGGGGUUUUCUUAGUAGAGACCAGACUGUGAAGGACCUUGCUUCAUUCCAUCUUUGAGGAGGAUGAUGAUUCAGGGACAUUGGCCCAAGAUCAAAGUGGUAUUUUUAGGUUGUAUUUACUUAGCUAUUUGCCGUCUACCUCCUUAUUUCCAGGUAGCAACUUCCUUCUUAUAUCUGAGAUGUUUAAGAGAUGAUGAAACCAGCUUGCACACACUUCUCAAAGUGUGUUUGUUCGCAUCCAUUAUUUCACUGGGGACCGGCUAUUAUCCUCUCCAUUUUCUUUAUAAGGAUAUUGAAAGAGAGAUUAAAUAACUUGUUCAAGGCCGCAUAGCUAGUUAACAGCUGAACUAGGCUUAAAACCAACGUCUGAAGGCUCCUAUUCCAGUGGCAGCUGCUGUGUGCUUCUUCUGUUUUCCAUCAGUUUGGAAGGGAGCAUAAAGUCUACAGCCACAUGGGUGGGGUCAGCAGAAAGAUUGACCACCAAGCCUGAGGCAGGUGAGGCUGAUCUCCUGGGCACAGCCUCUCUGCACAGGAGUUCACAGAAGUGAUAUGAUCCAAAGUUGCUGAGGGAAAAGCCCUUAUUUGUGGAAUUAACGGCAGGUCUCUCUUGAGGUCAGAAUGAAUGUUAUUGACAUUAUUGUUUGUAUUGUGGUAAGGUAUACAUAAUGGAAAAUGUACCAUUUUGGCUGGACAUGGUGGCUCACGCCUGUAAU
rnacentral:lncRNA from 1 species